rnacentral:lncRNA from 10 species
AAAGUCAUUCUACUGCAGUAAAUUUCUACCAGGCAGGAAACAGCUAGAAACAAGGUUGAGUGUUCAGUCUUCCUUCCUGCAGGAAAGGUGAUUCCCUGGAUAAUUUCACAUUAGGCUUUAAGAGCUCCUUUCCUGUGGCAUUGUGGGGGUGGAAAAAGAAAAGCCAGUCUUUUAUCUUUAUGGAAAUCUCACUGUUCGGAUACAAAAGUCUGUAAUAGAGGUGAGUUCCUCAGCAAAUUGGUGCGUUACUCACCAAAAAGCCAUUCUGUCUCUUUUUUAAAGUGAAAUCUGAGUUUAUCCCAGAAAGACUGGGGCAUGGAGCAGCUUAGCUCACAUCACUUAGGAUAAAGGUGGGCACACUCUUAAGUGAGACAGAGUCUCACUCUGUCACCCAGGCUGGAGUGCGGUGGUGCAAUAAUGGCUCACUGCAGCUUCGAACUCCUUGGCUCAAGUGAUCCUCCCACCUCAGCUUCUGGAGUAGCUGGGACCACAGGCAUGCACCAGCAUACCCAGCUAAUUUUUUAUUUUUUGGUAGAGACAUUUAGUCAGGGGUGGGGAGUGCAUCUUAGUCCCAGCUACUCUACUGAGGAGGCUGAAGUGGGAGGAUGGCUUGAAGCCAGGAAUUGGAGGCUGCAGUGAGCUAUGAUCAUGCCACGGCACUCCAGCCUGGGUGACAGAGGGAGAUCCUGUCUCUAUAAAUAAAUAAAUAAAUAAAAUCAGCUCAACUAUUUAUGUCAGUGUCGUAAAUACAGAAACCAAAUCCUUAAGAUGCCCUAGAAGUGGAGGUUGGGUGGGAGGGAAUAUCCUCCCCAAACUUCAAAUCACAUCCAUGCUCUGAGAGCUCCAUUGGGUUGCCAAGCUCCAUUCAGUCUCAUUUUCCUCUUAACAAUGCACGUGCGCAAAGGCUUCCUGCCUGGGAAGGCACCAGGCAUCUUUUUAAAGAAGUGCAAGGAUUUUAGAUGAGGUCAGGAGUUGGGCAUGGGAGCGAGGUGAAGGGUGAAAAAAGUCCAGAAAGCGGCUCUAUGGAGAGAGCCUUCAGGAGGCCUCAGCCAUAUCUGAAUGGCUUUCUCUGGCCUCUGAUUUAUUGAUGAAGCUGAAGCGACUUGCUGGAGAAAGGCCUGGAGCCUUCUUUGUCUCCGAGAUGAAGUACAAUAGGCCACAGGGCGGAGAUCUCUUGUGAUGCUCUCGGGUCCUGCCUUUCUCUUGCCCUCUCCUCCCUGCAAAUACCAGCAGCGGUGACAAACGAUUGGUGGUGUGCCUGGGAGAGCCGGUGACAAGACUGGGCCACUUGAGGUCUCCUUAAGAGGGUAUUAUGGCCAGGGCGACGUUUGUGCUGUGAAGAUGGCACACUCCAUUUUGUCAAUGGCUCUCAUCGGCCCAGAUAAUCGCCCCCUGCCUGCCUGUCAGGGGCGCAGCCGGCCGAUUCAUGGCGCCCUCGGAGAAAGUACCCUUUCCGUGGCGACCAAGAUAGAGACAUUGUGUUCACCUCCUUGAGCAGAGGGGAAGGUGACCACCAGGGCAGCCUGCCUUGUAAAUUACCCUGAAAACAAAAACAUACAGCGCCU